CCUACGGGCGGCUGCAGUAAGGAAUAUUGGUCAAUGGACGAAAGUCUGAACCAGCCAUCCCGCGUGCAGGAUGAAAGCCCUAUGGGUUGUAAACUGCUUUUAGCAGAGAAGAAAAGCUUUCAUUAAUGAGAGUCUGACGGUAUCUGCAGAAUAAGCACCGGCUAACUCCGUGCCAGCAGCCGCGGUAAUACGGAGGGUGCGAGAGUUAUCCGGUAUUACUGGGUCUAAGGGGGACGAAGAAGGCAGAUGAGAAAUCUUGUCGCUUAACGAUAGUAGUGCCAAUGAUACUGGUACUCUUGAAUUGGGUUGAGGUUAGCGGAAUGUGACAUGUAGCGGUGAAAUGCAUAGAUAUGUCAUGGAACACCAAUUGCGAAGGCAGCUAACUGGGCCUUGAUUGACGCUGAGGCACGAAAGCGUGGGUAGCGAACAGGAUUAGAUACCCCUGUAGUC
rnacentral:rRNA from 1 species